CCUACGGGUGGCUGCAGUGAGGAAUAUUGGUCAAUGGGCGUAAGCCUGAACCAGCCAUCCCGCGUGAAGGAAGAAGGCGCUAUGCGUCGUAAACUUCUUUUCCAGAGGAAUAAAAUUUCGUACGUGUACGGAACUGAAGGUACUUUGGGAAUAAGCAUCGGCUAACUCCGUGCCAGCAGCCGCGGUAAUACGGAGGAUUCGAGCGUUAUCCGGUUUAAUUGGGUUGUAGGGGUAUUAAGAAGUCAGUGGUGAAAACCUUCAGCUUAACUGGAGAACUGCCAUUGAUACUGUUAGUCGUGAGUACGGUCAAGGUAGGCGGAAUGUGUAAUGUAGCGGUGAAAUGCUUAGAUAUUACACAGAACACCGAUUGCGAAGGCAGCUUACUGGGCCAUUACUGACGCUGAUGCACGAAAGCGUGGGGAGCGAACAGGAUUAGAUACCCCUGUAGUC
rnacentral:rRNA from 1 species